rnacentral:rRNA from 1 species
AUUGAACGCUGGCGGCAUGCCUUACACAUGCAAGUCGAACGGUAACAGGUCUUCGGAUGCUGACGAGUGGCGAACGGGUGAGUAAUACAUCGGAACGUGCCUAGUAGUGGGGGAUAACUACUCGAAAGAGUGGCUAAUACCGCAUGAGAUCUACGGAUGAAAGCAGGGGAUCGCAAGACCUUGUGCUACUAGAGCGGCCGAUGGCAGAUUAGGUAGUUGGUGGGAUAAAAGCUUACCAAGCCGAGGAUCUGUAGCUGGUCUGAGAGGACGAUCAGCCACACUGGGACUGAGACACGGCCCAGACUCCUACGGGAGGCAGCAGUGGGGAAUUUUGGACUGUGGGCGCAAGCCUGAUCCAGCAAUGCCGCGUGCAGGAUGAAGGCCUUCGGGUUGUAAACUGCUUUUGUACGGAACGAAAAGCCCUGGGUUAAUACCCUGGGGUCAUGACGGUACCGUAAGAAUAAGCACCGGCUAACUACGUGCCAGCCGCCGCAGUAAGAC